GAACUUUUGCCUUGACCAUAGCACAUUGGAAAGAUUCCUACUCUCAUAGACAUUGCAAAGAGUCUUCCAUGCAUCUGCUGCUCCUUUGCAAGAAAUGACAUGAGCAAAGUUGGUUUCAUCUAAGUUGGUGGCAAUUAUGCCAAAAGCCUUCUUUUCUCGUCUUUUGAAGUCCUUUUGCUCCUUUAUGCUUGCCUCUAAUCCAGGUGCCUCUUCCUCCUCACAUACUAUCUCCCAAAGAUCCAAUGACGCCAAAAGUAGCUCCAUUUUGGCCUUCCAGUGGUAAAAGUUGUCACCUCUAAACUUUUCUACCAUUCUUAAGCUAUCACUCUCAAAAGAUGCCAUCUCAAGCUACA
rnacentral:lncRNA from 1 species